rnacentral:rRNA from 1 species
UACGAAGGGGGCUAGCGUUGCUCGGAAUCACUGGGCGUAAAGCGCACGUAGGCGGACUCUUAAGUCAGGGGUGAAAUCCUGGAGCUCAACUCCAGAACUGCCUUUGAUACUGGGGGCCUUGAGUUCGGGAGAGGUGAGUGGAACUGCGAGUGUAGAGGUGAAAUUCGUAGAUAUUCGCAAGAACACCAGUGGCGAAGGCGGCUCACUGGCCCGAUACUGACGCUGAGGUGCGAAAGCGUGGGGAGCAAACAGG